GUGGGGAAUCUUGCGCAAUGGGCGAAAGCCUGACGCAGCCAUGCCGAGUGAAUGAUGAAGGUCUUAGGAUUGUAAAAUUCUUUCACCGGGGACGAUAAUGACGGUACCUGGAGAAGAAGCUCCGGCUAACUUCGUGCCAGCAGCCGCGGUAAUACGAAGGGGGCUAGCGUUGCUCGGAAUUACUGGGCGUAAAGGGCGCGUAGGCGGACAGCUUAGUCAGAGGUGAAAGCCCAGGGCUCAACCUUGGAAUUGCCUUUGAUACUGGCUGUCUUGAGUUUGGGAGAGGUGAGUGGAACUCCGAGUGUAGAGGUGAAAUUCGUAGAUAUUCGGAAGAACACCAGUGGCGAAGGCGACUCACUGGCCCAAUACUGACGCUGAGGCGCGAAAGCGUGGGGAGCAAACAGGAUUAGAUACCCCGGUAGUCC
rnacentral:rRNA from 1 species